AGUGCAGUCGCUCUGAAAUGCAAGAUGGCGGCGGCGAGGCGCUGAGGCGAGGCGGCCCCUGCAGUUGAAGGGAUAACCUUCUGCUUUAAGGAACAGAAUGCUGAAGAAGCUAUGGCAGGUAUGUGCUUCCUCAUUCAGGGAUGGUAAAGCCCUAUACAGAUGUACUCACUUAAGUGUCCAUAAUACUGUAUUUGACUAAUGUUUUAAAAUCUGCCUAUAAUCAAGAUUCCAGGGGAUAUAGUGCCCUCUUCUUGCUUCCGUGAGCACCUAUAUACAUGCAUGUGCAUACACACACACACACACACACACACACACACACACACACACAGUCUUAAAAAAAGGACAGUGAUUCUCUCUUUUUUACUUUUUCUUUUCUUAAUGUUUUCCUUAAAACAGCAGCUAAGGGGUAGAGAGAUGGCUCACUAGUGGUUAAGAGCACUUACUAUAUCUGGAAUGACAGCACAAGUCUUUAAAUCUCAGCACUUGAGAGGCAGAGGCAGGUAUAUCUCUGUGAGUUGGAGGCUAGCCUGGUCUACACAGUGAAUUCCAGGACAGCCAGAACUACAUAGUGAGACUGUCUCAAACUCCUCCCACCAAAAAAGGAGCACUUCUUUCUAGAGGUCUUCAGAGGACCUGAGUUCAGUUCCCAGCAUCCAGCCAGUGACUUACACCUGCCUGUAACACCUGCUCCAGAUCAGAUGCCACCUUCUGGCUUCCAUGUGGAACCUGCCACAUGUGGAAUACACUCACAUUGAGACACACAUAUGCAUACCUAUG
rnacentral:lncRNA from 1 species